GGGGUUGGGGAUUUAGCUCAGUGGUAGAGCGCUUGCCUAGCAAGCACAAGGCCCUGGGUUCAGUCCCCAGCUCUGGGGUGGGGGAGUGGGAGGGUAGGGGGUAGGGGCAAACAAAAAAAAAACCAUGAAGGCAAGAAGAGGAGGGUGCUUUAGAAAUCCCCCCCUUUUUUUGCACAUUUUCCCCUUGUAAUAUACAGGAAACAGACACAUCUGAAGCAGCCAUUCAGAUCAGGCCACUUCCUUUCCUUUGUAGCAAAUGGAAAUGGGAGUGACACAGCGAGGACACUUCACUCUCAAAAGCAUUUCAUCUAUGUACAGUUUUAAAUAUCUGGGUUUUUAAAAUCUAAGAACAAUAUGCUUAAUACCUUGCAUUAAUAAAAGAGAGAGACUCCACAUAAUGAAUGUAGACUCAGAAGGCGUCAUUUAAUCUAAUUACUAGCUCUUUAAAUUUUAUGUUACUGUCUUACAAGGAAACAGUAUUGAGUCAAAUAUCUACACCUGUGUGUAUGUAAAGCAUAUUCUGUUGCUUGAUUAUGACUUAGAUAUCAAAAAAUGCAGCCACGGUAUGUACUCUAUACAGAAACAAAGUAAUUUACUACUAAUACUAUUCUAGUUGAGCAUGGUGGCACCUGGAUAAUGAGGAGGGAUUGCUACAGGUUCUAAGGUAACCAAGGUCAUGAACUGAAUUCCAGACCAGCCUGAACUAUAGUGCGACACUAACCAAAAAUAUCAAAUGCAAAAAGACAACAAAAUUUAAAUGCAGCAAUACAUACUAAAUUCUGAGGUUUUUCAUUCUUUGGGGAAAAAAAACUUUAAAUACUUGGCAAAUCAGAUGUACAUUAUGAAAAAUAUACAUGCAGAUACACUUCUGAUUUUAGGUGUUGGGGGUGGUCUGAGAGGUGAGAAAAUACCUCUCUCUAUGUACCCACGGCUGCCCUGGAAUUAACUAUGUAUACACCAGGCUGGCCUCAAAUUAGGUAUGCACUGCCAUGGCAGCUGUAUUCUCAGAAAAAGAAAAAAAAAUAGAUUUGUGUUUUGCCUGCAUGUAUGCCUGUAGCCGUAGAGGUCAGAAGAGGGCUGGUUAUUCCCUGGAACUGGAGUUACAGAUGGUUAGGAACUACCAUGUAGGUGGUGGAAAUUGAACCAAGGUCCGCUGCAAGAGCAGCCUGUGCUCUUAAUUGCUUAGCCAUUUCUUCAACUAUUCUUGCCAUGUCAUCUAAUCUUUCCAAAGCCCAAGCUCACUUUGGUAUGAGUUUAUUGCAAGGAAUUUUUUUCAUUCUAUUCAGGUUCCUAUUUUACCUGUGUAGGAUUUGGUUAGGAAACAAGUUUAUAUAGAAACUGAAGGUCAGCAGUAGGAAAAAGUGCACUCUCUUAAAAGCGGAAAUGAUUAAAGGUGACUGAGUAGGUCUGUUGUAUUGAUAGUAUUUGUUCAUUAUUUACAAAGGCAUUCCACAUGUUCUUGAUAGAUAUCCCUCCUGGUGACUUAUUCAUCAAAGCAUAAUUCUCAUAAAUCUUUCUAAUUAUUUAGAAUGAAAGCUUUGUGAAUACAAAAUAGUAAAUGAUGGGAAUGAUGGGAAUGGAUGACAAAUAACAGUUGUUGUUCUGAGUCAGAAUUUACUCCAUAGCCCAUACUAGCUUCAAACUGACAGUGUUUCUGCCUCAGUUUCCCAAGUGCUGCAAUUACAGAUACCUGCCUCCACCCUUAGCUCAGGUGAUAUUUUUAAAUCUAUGUAUAUUUUUUAAUUAAAAUAUAAUUAAAUCAUUCCCCCUUCCCUUUCUUCCCCCCAGCCCCUCCCCUUGUCCCUCUUAAUCCCUUUCAAAUUGAUGGCCUCUUUAUUAUUGUUACACAUAUAUAGAUGCACAUCCACAUAAAUGUAGUCUGCUGCAUUUUUGAUGUUUGUGUGUAUAUGAUUUCAGGGCUGAACACUCUGAAUUGGAUAAUUGUAGGAGAAGCUGAUACUAAAAUCUGGUUCCCUAAUUGGUUCUUGGUUUGGUCAAUAAGGAAGGCAGAAGUCGAUUGCUGGACGAAGGGUAAAGGUCGGACUUCCAGGUCCCAGGAGGAAGAGAAGAGGCACAGCGAAAAAAGUUGUCUUUUGACCAGAUUUUCAAACAAGCAGCAUGAACAACCAAGUAAAACUCUGUGGCACCGUCUGUCAGGCCUGCAGCCUGUCCUGCAAGCAGGGCCAAGGAGGUGGCUGGAGCUGGCUGAUACCUGCAAAGAUGAAUACAUUGAAGAAAAAGAAUAAUUUGAUGAGAUGGAAGUUGAAAUAAUAGGCAAAUGCUUACUUAGAAGGAUGGGGCUGCAUCUUAUAUUCUCUACUGCAAAACACCAACACACCGAGAUGUGCUCUCAGGACAUUAGCAUCUGCAUGUCUGAAAAGAACAAUCUUGAUAUGUGCCCAACACUGGGGUAACAACUGCCACUUAGAAAUAUAAACAGUCUUUAUCUCUUCUAUCAUUUAUCUCUUUUACUCAAAAAAGAAAAUAAUACACAUUUAAAUAAAAUGAUAACAUGAAGUUUAGGCGUGCUACUUCUAGAAGUACUAAUGUCACUGUCAAGACUUAAGGGGAAGACUAUUAGUAAAAACAAGUAUAUCCUUUACUUGAGCUCAAAUAAGGUUCAUUAUAACUAUCCAUCUUUUUUUUUUUUUUAUUAUUCCCCCGAGGGGGUGCACCGUUCCUGGAGGUACUGCAAUACCAGGUCGAUGCGUGGAGUGGACGGAGCAAGCUCCUAUUCCAACUCCUAGUUUCAAAAAUCCAUUUAAUAUAUUGUCCUCGGAUAGAGGACGUAUCAGAUAUUAAACUGAUAAGAACAGAUACUACACUUGAUCUUAGCCAAAAGGCCGAGAAGCGAUAAUAACUAUCCAUCUUUUAAGGUAAAGCUAAUGUAAAAACAACAACAGCCACAAAAAACUCUCGGCUGUCUGGGCAGCCAACAUAACAAAUCUUUGAGUUGUGAGAUUUGUGAUGUGAUGACUUUUCAGUCAAACACUGGCUGAGGGAAAGCCAGCCAAUGUUUUCUACUGAUCUUACCAGAGCAAUCAUUUGCUUUAAUGACAAACUUGGUAGUUAUGAGUAGUUUUAAACAUCAGACCAAUUUGUGUUGGAAAUCUAUGUCUCGUAUCUACUAACUAUAGGACCUGGAAUGAGUUAGCUCUCUGAACCUGGGAGUUUCCUCUUGAGUAGAAUGAAUUCCUUACACAAAGGCAACAGACAAUGUAAGAUAAGAAGUUAACUGCAGUGACUACAUUCUAAAAAGCACAACAGCACUCGAUGAUUAGUAUCUAUAUUCAGGUUAUCAAGAAGAUUGUGUGUGCCCUGCUAAACACAGAACAUAAAAAUGAGCAUUCAAUGGUUCCUACAUUUUAUUCUGGUGCAGGUGCAAACAUAGUCUUUUGCUUGUUUGGUUUUAUUAUUUAUCAUUACUCUGUGUGUGUGUGUGUGUGUGUGUGUGUGUGUGUGUGUGUGUGUGUGUAUGUGUGUGUGUGUGUGUGAGAGAGAGAGAGAGAGAGAGAGAGAGAGAGAGAGAGAGAGAGAGAGAAAA